rnacentral:tRNA from 1 species
AUAGCUCAGUGGUAGAGCACAUGCUUAGCAUGCACGAGGUCCUGGGUUCAAUUCCCCAGU